UAGGCCAUCUGAAAUUGGGCCUUAGAGAGCGAAUUACGAAGCGUGGAAACAUCGAAUUAAUCAGCGCUAUUUCUAACGUUGAUUAUCGAUUACCGAAAGUACAGUAUUUUGAGCGUCAAUUCCUCUAAAAAAAAAUCGUUAACGCUACCUCAAAUAUAAAGGAGCAGUUAAAGUGGCAAUUCAAGCGCUAUUUCUACGAAAUUUGCAGUCAAAGUGCAAACUCGAAAGUCUACUUUCACGUGUAAAUAGCCAGAAAGUACUUUUUAAUCGUUGCUGCAAGUGCUGUCAAACAAAUCGAGUGUUGCCGUGUGACGGGUUUUUUGGCGAAUUUGUAUAAAAUUAUAAAAAUGUUGAAUGAAAUAUCAGUAUCUGACUUUCCAAGCGCUCAGCGUUGCCGCUGUCUUAUUUUGGAAUUAUCCAUACAUUCAUAAAUCAUAAGAUUAAUUUUUUACUAUUUCUGCAAAAAAAAUUCAAUAAAAUACACACUUUAUGCAUAAAUUAUUAGUCUUAAGUUAUUUCGAUUAUAAGGCACCUUAUCAAUAACAAUUGCAUAUUUGAUCGAAAGUUAUUCUCUAAUUAAUCGAUAAUUUAAGUAAGCAGUUGACCAUCGCUGCAGAAUUUUGACAACUUGAGAGUUUUGACAACUGAAAAUUGCGAAUGUUUAUUUGUUCUGGGUUUCUAUUAUCGUUGAAACUACUAAAUAAAGAUUGAAUUAAGUUGAAACGAUUGCCAAAAUUAUCGUCUAUAAAUUUCUUGUACGCUGUAAAAAGUUUCAUUCAAUAAAUAGUUCCUGAUAACUUUGUGAAUCCAAUUGUUCCUAAUUGCCGGCAGAUUUUUGUACCCAAAGCCUUUUGGAUCCAAUUGUCAGAUUAAUUGUGCUUGGAUAACUUGGAUAAAAACAAUAAAGAAAAGCGAUUGCCUUGCGCCACGUCCUGUAAAUCCUGGAAAUAUUACUACCGCUUGAAGCGUCACUAUGCAUAUGUAGCUCGGAAUACAUAUAAGAUAUUUCAUAUGCUUUCAGAUGCACCUAUGUACGUCAAAUGGAAUCUGCUUAGAAGUCACUCAAAACAUUAUGGUGGCUUUUUGUUCCUGAAGUUUGCAACAAUACAAUAUUUGUUUAAUACGUAUAUACAGUAUAUUUUGCUUUGCUGCCUCUAUGCUUAAGUGCACAUUUAAGAUACCUACCCCAAAAUGCGCA